rnacentral:rRNA from 1 species
UUAGAUACCCUUGUAUUAUAAAUUAAUUUUAAUUAGUAUAUAAUGGAAUUUAAUAAUUUUUGGCGGUUAAUUAUUAAUUAGAGGAGCUUGUAUUUAUAGAUUUAGCUCUUUAUAUUUAAUUAAUAAAAAAUUUAUUCAUCUCCGUUAUUAAUUUUAUUCAAUUAAAUUAUAUUUAAUUAUAUUACAUUUCAGGUCAAGAUGUAGUAUUUAUUAGGAAAUAUUAGCUACAAUUAUGUAAUUUAUAGUUUGUAAUGAGAAAGGGAGGUUUAACAAUAAAUUGAAUUUAAUUGUAAUUGUAUUUAAAAUAAUAUGAUGAAUGGAAUUGGUUAAUGUACAUAUUGCCCGUCACUUCUAUUUAAGGGUAGAAUAAGUCGUAACAAAGUAA